rnacentral:rRNA from 1 species
AUUGCACGCUGGCGGCAGGCCUAACACAUGCACGUCGAGCGAGCGGCGGACGGGUGAGUAAUGCCUGGGAAUUGCCAAGUCGAGGGGGAUAACAGUUGGAAACGCCUGCUAAAACCGCAUAAGUUAGGAAUGCACAGGUGGGAUUAGCUAGUUGGUGAGGUAAUGGCUCACCUAGGCAACGAUCCCUAGCUGGUCUGAGAGGAUGAUCAGCCACACUGGAACUGAGACACGGUCCAGACUCCUACGGGAGGCAGCAGGGGGGAAGAGUGCGCAAUGGGGGAAACCCUGAUGCAGCCAGGCCGCGUGUGUGAAGAAGGCCUUCGGGUUGUAAAGCACUUUCAGCGAGGAGGCGUUACUCGCAGAGGAAGCACCGGCUAACUCCGUGCCAGCAGCCGCGGUAAUAC